GAGAGUUUGAUCCUGGCUCAGGAUGAACGCUGGCGGCGUGUCUAAGGCAUGCAAGUCGAAUGGUCACUUCGGUGGCCAUGGCAAACGGGAGAGUAACGCAUUGGUAAUCUACCCCGAAGUCGAGUAUAACCCGGAGAAAUCUGGAAUAAUCCUCGAUAAUAGUGACUGUCACAUGGCAGUUACUUAAAGUUCCGACGCUUCGGGAGGAACCUAUGUCCUAUCAGCUAGUUGGUGAGGUAACGGCUCACCAAGGCUAUGACAGGUACCGGGUGUGAGAGCAUGACCCGGCCCACUGGGACUGAGACACUGCCCAGACUCCUACGGGAGGCUGCAGUCAAGAAUAUUCCUCAAUGGCCGAAAGGCUGAAGGAGCGACGCCGCGUGUAUGAUGAAGCCCUUUGGGGUGUAAAAUACUUUUCUCUGGGAAGAACUUUGACGGUACCAGAGGAAUAAGGGGCUGCUAAACUCGUGAACUUAAAAUUAGCAGUAAAAAUUUCGUAUUAUUUGAGCGCGACUCUUAGUGGUAACAUUAAGAUGCAUAACUCGGCUUAUAUGCUGGAAACUCUAAUCAUAUUAAUCUGUUGCGUAGUGAUUAGACAAUCAGCAGGGAAGUUGUUAUAAUAUAGGUAUGGAAAUUGCGCUAACUAAAAGACAAAAAGCGAUUAUUGUCGGCAAUAUAUUAGGAGACGGUUACUUAGAAUUUAAUGGUUUUCAUGGCACAAGAUUACAAAUGAAACAGUCACAAAAAUAUAAAGAAUAUAUUUUAUGGUUAUACCAAGAACUAAAGAAUCUAUGUAAAAGUGAACCUAAUAAAAGGCGUGAUGGUAGUCAGUGGUUUUUCGGUACAAGGUACAUUAAUGACCUCACCAAACUAAGAAAACAGUUUUAUGAUGAAGACGGCAAAAAAAGAAUACCAGAUAAUAUUUCUGAUAUUUUAACUAGCCCUUUAUCAUUAGCAGUUUGGUAUAUGGACGAUGGUACUUUAGAUUGGAGACCAAAAGAUCAUUAUGCUUUUAGCUUAACUAUUAAUUGCUUUUCUCUACAAGAUGCCGCAAGGCUAUCAGAAACUUUAUCUAGUAAUUUUGAUAUUGAAUCUAAUGUACAAAAUCCAUUGUGCAGAGGGAUAAGAUACCCAAAACUUUAUAUAGGAAAAGUUGGCAGAGAAAAAUUUUUGUCUUUAAUUAGACCUUAUAUAGUUGAAUGUUUUAACUAUAAAUUACCUCCAUUAUAAUUAACCCUUCAGAGACUGAUCCCUUCGGGGAGAGAUAGUAGUUCUCUAAUUAUAUCUAAUUAGAAAUCUGCACUACUAUAAGACGCCGGGCAUCCUAAAAUAUAUUAGGAUGGUGAUAUAGUCCAAUGGCAAUUUAUACUAAUUGGCCAGCAGCAGCGGUAAUACGAGUGCCCCGAGUGUUAUCCGGAUUUAUUGGGCGUAAAGCGUCCGCAGGUUGCUCAUUACAUCUCCUGUUAAAUCUCAGAGCUCAACUCUGAGGCCGCGGGAGAUAUGGAUGGGCUAGAGGCUGGAAGAGGCAAACGGAAUUGCUGGUGUAGGGGUUAAAUCCGUUAAUAUCAGCAGGAACACCAAAAGCGAAAGCAGUUUGCUGGGACAGUCCUGACACUCAUGGACGAAAGCGUGGGGAGCGAAUGGGAUUAGAUAGAUCCCAACUGUAGUUAUUAAUUUAACAAGCAGUAAAUGGUGUCCACCUUAGCGGUGACGCUAAGAGUGCAUUCAGCUAUAUCGGGGAACACCCUAAACAUAAUAUGCGGAAUACUACUGCCGCGUUUAGGACAAUCCCGAGGGAAGUUCAUCAAAUUUAUUUGAUAUGGACCCCGUAGAGACUAUGAAGUUAGAUAUAAGAUAGAGGGUGCUAAUGAUAAAUGUAUGAAUCAAUAUCAAAAAGUGCCUUUGUCGAAUCGAACCAAGGAGAUUCUUCUAGGAUCUGUCUUGGGAGAUGGUUCACUAAAGAUACAUAAACCUUACAAGAAUGCGCGAUUUUCUUUUCGCCAUUCUAUCAUUCAAAAAUCUUAUUUUGAAUGGAAGGUUAAACAACUUGAAGAAAUUUCUUCACUAAAAUGUUUCUGGUUACAGAAACCAGAUAAAGGAUUUUCUGAAAACUUUAAACUCAGAUAUCAAAGCAAGGCUUUAGAGCCAUUAACCGAUUUGUAUAAAUUUACUUCCAAAAGAGGUAAACUUAAAAUCAGUCGUUCGUGGCUUAAUUACAUGACUCCACUAUCAUUGGCCAUUUGGUGGCUUGAUGAUGGCUCCAUUAUUGCUAAUGGGCGUAAAGGAGUUAUUUGUACAGAUGGAUUUGAUGAAAAAUCCGUUAAAGUUUUAGCUAGAUAUUUGCAAGUAGUUUGGAAAAUCGAAACUAAACCGGCAAUUAUUACUAGACCGCGUAAUGGCAAACAACAAGAAUAUUGGCGUUUGUGGUUAAGGUCAACAAGUGAAUUAAAAAAAUUUUUGCAGAUUAUUUUACCUUAUAUAGAGGUAGAAGAAAUGUUACCCAAAGUGAUAUUGUUAUAUCACGAUUAUCAACUUCAACAACGCUGGAUUUCUGAGAUAGUAAAAUCUACUAAUUUUUCUGAAGCUACUAUUAACAAAUAUGUAGAUUUAAAGAAAAAUAAGUGGAAAGAAUAUCAGAAAAAGAUAUAGUCCAACCUUUAUAGUAAUAUAAAGAAGCAUUGACCCCAGUAGUCCACGCCGUAAACGAUGGAUGCUAAGCAUUGGAAGUAUCGACCCUUUCAGUGCUGUUUACCUAAGCUAACGCAUUAAGCAUCCCGCCUGGGGAGUACGGCCGCAAGGCUAAAACUCAAAGGAAUAGACGGGGACCCGCACAAGCGGUGGAGCAUGUGGUUUAAUUCGAUGAUAAGCGAGGAACCUCACCAAGGUUUGACAUCUAGCUGCAGACCCCUGGAAACAGGGGAGCCUUCGAGGGUGCUAGACAGAUGCUGCAUGGUUGUCGUCAGCUCGUGCUGUGAAGUGUACCGUUAAGUCGGGAAACGAGCGCAACCCCUAUCCUAUGUUUCAUGUGUCAUAGGAGACUGCCUGCUUUAAGCAGGAGGAAGGCGGGGAUGACGUCAAAUCAGCAUGGUUCUUACACCUUGGGCGACACACGUGCUACAAUGGGAAGUACAACGGGACGCCAAACCGCGAGGUGGAGCAAAUCCCUAAAAACUUCCCCCAGUUCGGAUUGGAGUCUGCAACUCGACUCCAUGAAGUUGGAAUCGCUAGUAAACGCGAAUCAGCCAUGUCGCGUUGAAUACGUUCUCGGGUCUUGUACUCAC
rnacentral:rRNA from 1 species